rnacentral:rRNA from 1 species
UACGAAGGGGGCUAGCGUUGCUCGGAAUUACUGGGCGUAAAGCGCACGUAGGCGGGUUCUUAAGUCAGGGGUGAAAUCCUGGAGCUCAACUCCAGAACUGCCUUUGAUACUGAGGACCUCGAGUCCGGGAGAGGUGAGUGGAACUGCGAGUGUAGAGGUGAAAUUCGUAGAUAUUCGGAAGAACACCAGUGGCGAAGGCGGCUCACUGGACUGGUAUUGACGCUGAGGUGCGAAAGCGUGGGGAGCAAACAGG